rnacentral:rRNA from 1 species
GACGAACGCUGGCGGCGUGCCUAAUACAUGCAAGUCGAACGCAGUGGGGACGGGUGAGUAACACGUGGGUAACCUCCCAUCAGAGGGGAUAACACUUGGAAACAGGUGCUAAACCGAUACUGAUGGAUGGACCUGCGGUGCAUUAGCUAGUUGGAAGGGUAACGGCUCACCAAGGCAUCGAUGCAUACCUGACCUGAGAGGUUGAUCAGCCACACUGGGACUGAGACACGGCCCAGACUCCUACGGGAGGCAGCAGUAGGGAAUCUUGGGCAAUGGACGAAAGCCUGACCGAGCAACGCCGCGUGAGUGAAGAAGGUUUUCGGAUCGUAAAACUCUGUUGUUGGAGAAGCGGUAUCUAACCAGAAAGCCACGGCUAACUACGUGCCAGCCGCCGCGGUAAUUC